rnacentral:lncRNA from 1 species
UGUGAUUCUAUCUUCUACUCAAGCAAUUAACAUUUGGUUUCAACUCCAAAAGGAUACUGCUAAAGUUCAUUUAAUGAUUGCCUCUUCCAAAGAAUCUCUUAGAGGCAUAUUAACUUUAAGGCUUUGCUUGGUAAGGUGAAAAGAAAAUUGGAAAAAUGGAAAACUAAAGGGGGAGAAAAAUAGAAAGAUAGAAAAAAAAAUACUUUUUAUUUUCAUUGGCAUGCUUAGAGGCAUAUUAACUUUAAGGCUUUGCUUGGUAAGGUGAAAAGAAAAUCGGAAAAACGGAAAAUUAAAGGGGAGAAAAAUAGAAAGAUAGAAAAAAAAUACUUUUUUUUUUAUUGGCAUGCUUAGUAGGAAAGAUAGAAAA